GGACAGGCCUAGUGUUGGAAUGAACUGGAAACUUCUGAGAGGGGCUUGUCAAUGAGGCAGAUUCGAUUCCGGUUUGAUGGACAACCAAUCAACGAAACAGACACUCCAGCCCAGCUGGAGAUGGAGGAUGAGGACACCAUUGAUGUAUUCCAGCAGCAGACGGGAGGAACGGCCUCCCGAGCCAGCGUCCCCACACCCAGCCAUUUUCCUGACAUUUGCUAUUGAAUGGUGACCAUGCAGCCACACCAAUCACACAAGAGUCCGCAGAAGCCAGAGUCACCGAAAAGAGUCUCCUUUCCCGAUGCGCUUGGAGUGAACUACAUCCAGAAUACGCUGCAGGGCGAGAGCAUUACAUACCCUGGUCGUUAGGAGGGUUUGGUUUGGGGGAAAUGAGGCGUGGGGUUUUUGGGGUUUGUUUUGUUUUCAUUUGUUUCCUCCCAUUUCUAAAAUUUUUUCUCCCCCAAACUUGGGUCUGGAUGUACAGACUCUCACCCUGUGGCCUGAGUCUAAUCCCUAGAACUAUGGUUUCCUCCGGUGUGACUUGUCCUGAUCAGGUAGAGAGAGCUUGUGGUCACAUUACCCAGUGGGCAUACCUGUGGGAUGUGGGGAGGGGCAGAGAAGCAGAAUUCCACCCGUUUGUUGUAGGCAUAGGAUAUUAAAAUGUGAAAUACUGU
rnacentral:lncRNA from 1 species